UACGUAGGAUGCAAGCGUUGUCCGGAAUUAUUGGGCGUAAAGAGCGCGCAGGCGGUAACUCAAGUCAGAUGUGAAAUAUCCGGGCUUAACCCGGAGGGGUCAUUUGAAACUGAGUAACUAGAGUACAGCAGAGGAUAGCGGAAUUCCCGGUGUAGUGAUGAAAUGCGUAGAUAUCGGGAGGAACACCAGUGGCGAAGGCGGCCUUCUGGACAGUGACUGACGCUGAGACGCGAAAGCGUGGGGAGCAAACAGG
rnacentral:rRNA from 1 species